rnacentral:lncRNA from 1 species
CUUGUUAGCCAGGAUGGUCUCGAUCUCCUGACCUCAUGAUCCACCCGCCUCGGCCUCCCAAAGUGUAGAACUCUUCUUUUUUUCUUAUAAUUUAGCUGUAACUUUGCAAUUAUUUCCCAAAAAAAUGUUUAAAACUUUUUUUCUACAUAACCCCAGUAGACUCAGGACUUGGAGACACACAAUAAGAAAGAAAGAAGAAAAGUAAAAGAAAUUCAAGCCUGAAAAUUGGUUUCAGGGCUGCAGAUAUCUAUUGUGGUGAUUGUUGUUAGACUUCCAGUCACCACACCAACAGCUUUUUUUCUUAAUCAAACCAGUUCUAAGAAUAUGUAGCAAAUUAGCCAGCAACAAAAAUCUCCAUGGGUAAAGCCAUCUGAUUCCUGCCUCAGCUCACUGCCUAUAGCUCUAACCACCCUGCAACCCAGCAUCCAAUUGGAUUCUGGGAGCUUUAGUUCUGUUGCAACUGUUCUAACUGUCAUUACUGGUGUACAGAGAAGAGCUUCACUGAGGAUCCCUUUCAGGAUGCUGUGACUCCCUUUACAAUUAUAUUUCUCACUGCCUUGGUAAAGGGUCUUUUGGACUCUUCUUGGAUGUAGUUUAGCGGGUAGGUGAGUGGUUCUUCGAUGAGAAAUCUACUCUAGCAUUUCAAUUUCCCUGGGCCCUGUAGACCUUCUGCAACAUACCAGUGGAGUUCUGGCAUUUCACCUGGAUUUAGUCUAGGCCACCACAUUUUAGUCAAUUAACCAAGCAAACUCUUAGAGCCACUCAAACGGACACAUUGAGUCCAGAAUCUUGGCUUAACGUUUCUAUAUCAAGAUUUCAUCCUUGUCCAAUAUUAUAUUCCUUUCCUCCUGAUCAGACCCUUAGGAUCCAUUUCCAUGCAUGUUCCUCGGGUUUCUGUCUAUAUAAAUUGAUAAACUCUUGCAAUAUUUAGAUGUAACUUGCAUCCUCUCAUGGUUCACACUUUGUAACUCACACUCUGGGGCCUGGUGAGACUUGAAUCUGGUUACAAAUGUAGAAACAAGAGGCACUGAAGGUUUUCAGGAAGGUUGGCAAUCCUUUGCAAGACAAUUACCUUGAAAGAAGUUAUCACAAUCUUUAAGGCAAAGGAAUACUAACUUUAAUCUUGGAGAAAGGGUUUCCAUCUGCAAAAGGGGCUCUGAAGAAUUUAGAGAUUCAUGGUCUCCAGCUUCACUGGAAUUUGUCCAUAUGUCCCCUUUUAAUUGUUAGAGAGAGUCUCACUCUUAGUCAGUGUACCAAGUUCAACAUGAAUUCAAUUUGCCUUGUAAUCUAGCCACCAGAAAGAUCAGACUUUGAAUUUGUUUUUCAGAAAUCUUGGCCCUAUGUCUACAGGAGAAAAAAAGGUACUCAUUGAAGCAUUCUGCUCCCUUAUGCAGACCUUGAGCUGGGAAUUCAAAGCCCCGACUUCACUGUUUUCUUUCCCUAAGUUCUCUAUUUUACUUGGAAGCAACUAACCAAUCCCAUUAUGUUCCUUAUUUCUACCAAAAUAUUCUAAGGUACCACUACUUGAUCCCCCAAACCUCUGCCUUCUAUAGGCUGGUGAUUCCAGAUGCCUGCAGGUGAUCAGAUAUCUAAGUAACCCUCUUGCCACCAAAUACCACACACACUUCAGUUACUCUUUCAAAAAAAAUUAUCAAGCAACUGCUCUGUGCCAGAGACUCUUCUAGUCCUGAAGAUACAGUGAUAAAUAAGAUAGAGACAGUUCCUGCUGCCAUUCAGCUUGGUUCUAGUGAGAAAGACAGAUAUAUUAAAAAAUAACUUGACAUUACAUUUUCAAGAAUUUAAGUACUUUAUUGGAAAAUAUAACUGUGUAAGAAGACAGAUAUUGACAAGGACACUUAGUUCUUGUAGCGAGGAAGUAUAGACUUAACUCUUAUUAGUAAAAGAGUGUUUAAGAAUAAAAAUAUAUCAAUACCCCUAACUUUGGAGACAAACUGAAGUACUGAAUGUACUUCUAUUUUUGAUUUUUCCCUUAGCAUGGUGAGUUGUUUGGGAAAUGAUUCAAUAGUUAUUUGUAGUUUCUAAAUUCUCAGCAGCAGUUGCCUCCUGAUAUGUGUCACUAUAUAUUCUGAGUUGACAUCUGUUAUCUGAAUCACCAAAAUAGUGCCUUGUUUUAAAAUUUAUCCACUAUUGGCUUAUGUUUUAUCUUACUCUAGGCCAUGUUAUCACUACAUGUGACAUCUCUGUAUAUGUGUUUGUGAAACUGGGAUAAAGUUGGCAAAACUUGAGAUAGAGGAAACUAUCUAUGAAACAUGUUUUGCAUUAGUAGAACAGGAGGCAUAAGCACAUUUGGAAUAGAAAGAACAGAGAAGGCGAUACUGGAGAAAUAGGAUCUCACAAAGGAAAGUAGAAUGCACGUAGAGAACUUAAAUGCAAUUUAGGCAAUAACCUAUGCAAUUUGGACAACUAUAGACCUACUAUGGCUUAUGGUUUCUACCAACUAGACUUAAGCUUCUUUUGGAAUAAAGCCUUUGCCUCAUGGAGGAAGUCAGUUAAUGUUUGUUGAUUGUGAUUUUGAUGAUGACAUUCAUGAUGAUAUUCUAUUUGGGGAAUGUUUUUCAAAGUGGGGCUUUGACCUGACAAACUGUUAUACCGAUAGAAAAAUCAACAUUCUCUCACUGACACCUUAGGUAUUUGACAGAUAUCUGAAAGAAAAAUAAUUUGAUAUGACCAAGCAAUAGUGAAGUGUAGGAUAUUGAUCUCCAGAGAUUUGUGAGACUAAAAAUUGUGCAAACGAAUAAAAAAAAAUCAUAGUCUAGAUUAUCCCAAUGUUGAACAAUAUACUUAUGUUUACACAUAAUGUUGGAAAAGUCAUCAGUGCAAUUUCUACAAUGCACUGAUGAUAAUGAUAAUGAAAUUUUAGUGACAAUGUGAUAAUGAAAUUUUAGAAGAAAUUAUAAUUAGUUUUUCAUCUCUCUUAAAUGGAUGUGUUGUUUUUUCUGUCCUCUUCCUUCUCCAUUUAUGCCUGUUCUGGUUCCUUGUUGACUUGGGGAAAUAUACAUGUGGGUAAUAAGGGUGAACAUUUCCGCAGAAACAAAGCAGGUCUACUAUGCUUCAGCAGGCUUAACUCUCAUUUGUUUAAUGAGGGUUUGGAAAGAUGGGGGGGUUUCCUACAUAUAGUCAAUGCAUACUUAAGAACACCUACUAUGUGCUGGCUUCAUUUUAGUCUCUAGGAACUGGGAGACAUAUUGAGCCAUCUGUAUCUACAUAUAUUAAAAUUGUUGUACCGAAGAGUAUUUCAAGGUCUUCUAUCUGUUUUCUUUUGGAUAGAAGCAGUCAGUGCAAACCAGCAUGGUGAAUGAGCUUGAUUGUAUUUAAGAGAAAAAAUUCUCACUUUUGGGGUUUUUGCUACCAAUUUUAAGAAUGGGGAGCUGUUUUCAGAACUAAAAGUUUGCCAGCGCACUAAUAAGAUGUAAAAUGAAGAAAAAUUAAAAAAUAGCUCUAUGGUUUCAAAGAAUGUGGAGCUACUUUGGCUUCAUCGGCAGAGUAAGUCUGUUAAUAACCCCGAAGCUCUCCCCUUGUUGAAAUAACACAAAUUAGCGUUUAACCUGGGAGGAAGACACGUGAAGUUAUUUAACAUUUACAUAAAAUUAUGGAGUAAACUCCAAACAGGUCGCCUCCAAAAUGUAUAAUUACACUCAGCAGUCCUGUCAGCAUACAUAGAAACAAUUUUAUUUCCAAUCAUCUUCUGCUUUUAUUCACUCAGGAAUGUAUCAUUAAAAUUUCCACAGAACAAUGAACCUUAAUAGGCGCUAAUGCAAUUGUGAAUUAUGGUAAUUGUUACCUAAAUUAAUCUCUGUACUUUCCAUUCCUUAUUGCCCUGUGCAUAAGGAGUGUGAAAAAGAUAAUGUUGAAACUGACAUUUGUAUAAAUGGUAUAAAAAUUUAUCUUAUUUAAUAAAAAUUUAAUAUAAGAACUUGCUACUUUGUAAAGUAGUUUACUCAGAAAAAAAUGUUAGAUUUGUUGCAAGUUGGGUUUAUAAAAUCUUUAAUUUGUGAAAUUUGGGAGGGAAACUGGCAGUUGACUCAUUAUGGUUAUCUUUGGGGUAUGUGUAUGCACCGAGGUAUCGGGAUGGUACAUGUAUGUUCCUCCGUGCACAUAUUGCCAGGGCAGUGUAUGCAUUCGUACCCUUAUCUGUGUGCCUGGCCUCUUUCUGUGUGUUUAUGUUUACUCAUUUACGUAAACUACCCUCUUGGUGUAAUAAAAUCCACCAUUAUGUGUUGAAUUGUGUUCCUCUCAAAUUCAUAUGCUGAAGUCUCCUAGUUCUUCAGAAUGUGACCAUAUUUGAAGAUAGGACCUUUAAAGAGGUGAUUAAGUUAAAAUUAGGCCGUAUGUUUGGGCUCUAAUCCAGUGUGACUGGUGUCCAUCUAAGAAGAAAUUAGGACAGAGACAUAGAGGGAAGACCAUUGGAAGACACAGGGAUAAGAUGGCUGUCUACAAGCCAAGGAGAGAGGCUCCUGAAGAAACCGGCCCUGCCAAUACCAUCUUGUCAGAUAUAUGGCCUCCAGAACUGUGGGAAAAUAAAUUUCUGUUGUUUAAGCCACACAGCCUGUAGUACUUUGUUAUGGCAGUUCUAACAAACUCAUAUACUCACCUGGAUUGGAAAUAAAGAAAUACAGGGUUUUGUCUUGUUUCUGUCACUCCUGAAUUAUAUUUGACUUUGGGCAUAUCACUCAGCCUUCCCAUUUGCCGUGUGGUCCAGUUCUUGUAUACUUGUUUAUUCAAACCACUCAGUUUCAUAGUCUUUGCUAACCGCGCCCUGACUUUACUCUGAGAAAACACUCACCCUUCACAUUUAUUUCUCACAGUUCAGAUGGAGCUGAUCUUCUGCUCCAGCUCCAGUGGGCAUGUUACUCAGGUCUGGCCAAUCAAUAUGUUCCAUGCCCACAAUGACUGGUUCAAGAAUGCACAUAUGACAGAGCCCUGGACAAUGAGAUUCCAUUUCAGGACUUAAUCUGGAACUAUUGUGCAGGUAGGAUCUCUGUUUGCUGAAGCUGCUAAGGUGAGAGGAUGAAUGUCUGGGGCUUGCUUCAGCUGUCUUGGAACCACAGAGAAGGGUCAGACCAAGAAUGAAGCCAAUGCAGAGAAAAGUGAACCACAAGAUGGAGAGAGAUCAGUACUAAGAACGCUUUGUGAGUCCCCGAUCCAGCCUUGCCUGAAGCCAGUGAUUCUUGGGGGCCCUGUAGUUUUCAUUAAUAAGCUAGUGAAUCCCUC